rnacentral:rRNA from 1 species
CCUACGGGAGGCAGCAGUGGGGGAUAUUGCACAAUGGGGGAAACCCUGAUGCAGCGACGCCGCGUGUGGGAAGACGGUCUUCUGGAUUGUAAACCACUGUCCCCAGGGACGAAAAUGACGGUACCUGGGGAGGAAGCUCCGGCUAACUACGUGCCAGCAGCCGCGGUAAUACGUAGGGAGCAAGCGUUGUCCGGAAUUACUGGGUGUAAAGGGAGCGUAGGCGGGGACGCAAGUUGGGGGUAAAAACUAGCGGCUCAACCGAUAGUAGCACCAGAAACUGCAGCUCGUGAGUGAAGUAGAGGGGGGGGGAAUUCAAGGUGUAGGGGGGAAAUGAGGAGAUAUGAGGAGGAA